AUUGCUUCUUGGUCUUUUGGCCAAGACCAAGUGUAGUAUCUGCUCUUAUCAGUUCAGUGUAAGACAGGAAAAACAUUCUCAUAUGUGUAGAACGUCCAUCAUAUAACCAUUCUCUGAGGAGAAAUCAAGAAAAAUAAGCUUUCAACAUCUGACCAAAUGAUUAUAUUAAUACAAUAAUCUUAUAGUACCCAUA
ensembl:snRNA U2 U2 spliceosomal RNA